AUUGAACGCUGGCGGCAUGCUUUACACAUGCAAGUCGAGCGGCAGCGCGGGGGCAACCCUGGCGGCGAGCGGCGAACGGGUGAGUAAUGCAACGGAACGUACCCUGGAGUGGGGGAUAACGCCGCGAAAGCGGCGCUAAUACCGCAUAUGCUCUGAGGAGGAAAGUGGGGGACCUGCAAGGGCCUCACGCUCUGGGAGCGGCCGAUGUCCGAUUAGCUAGUUGGUGGGGUAAAGGCUUACCAAGGCGACGAUCGGUAGCUGGUCUGAGAGGAUGAUCAGCCACACUGGGACUGAGACACGGCCCAGACUCCUACGGGAGGCAGCAGUGGGGAAUUUUGGACAAUGGGGGCAACCCUGAUCCAGCCAUGCCGCGUGAGUGAAGAAGGCCU
rnacentral:rRNA from 1 species